GAUGAACGCUGGCGGCGUGCCUAAUACAUGCAAGUCGAGCGAACGGACGAGAAGCUUGCUCCUCUGACGUUAGCGGCGGACGGGUGAGUAACACGUGGAUAACCUACCUAUAAGACUGGGAUAACUUCGGGAAACCGGAGCUAAUACCGGAUAAUAUUUUGAACCGCAUGGUUCAAUAGUGAAAGACGGUUUUGCUGUCACUUAUAGAUGGAUCCGCGCCGCAUUAGCUAGUUGGUAAGGUAACGGCUUACCAAGGCAACGAUGCUUAGCCGACCUGAGAGGGUGAUCGGCCACACUGGAACUGAGACACGGUCCAGACUCCUACGGGAGGCAGCAGUAGGGAAUCUUCCGCAAUGGGCGAAAGCUUGACGGAGCAACGCCGCGUGAGUGAUGAAGGUCUUCGGAUCGUAAAACUCUGUUAUUAGGGAAGAACAUAUGUGUAAGUAACUGUGCACAUCUUGACGGUACCUAAUCAGAAAGCCACGGCUAACUACGUG
rnacentral:rRNA from 1 species